rnacentral:lncRNA from 1 species
UGGGCUCCAUUUUUAACUGAAAUUUGAUCGGGGGCCCCAUGUGCAACAUGGACAAUUACAAAUUUAUAUACAAAGAAAUAAUAAGUUGAAAUUUAGCCGGAAAAAAAGAAUAAGCUGAAAAUUCAACCGUGGAAAACGGCGUCCAAUAUGGACCAGCCCAAGUGAAUCAGCAAAUGGCGCAGAUCAGAUCAACAACACAGUAGCAAAUCGUCACCGGCAUAACUUUCGGCCAAACAUCAGCAACCUAUCAUUCCAAAAGAGGAGCACGGUACCACCAACUAACAACUCAAAUCUAAU